GAUCCUGGCUCAGAACGAACGCUGGCGGCACGCCUAACACAUGCAAGUCGAGCGCCCAGCAAUGGGAGCGGCGGACGAGUGAGUAACACGUGGGAACAUGCCUUUCGGUUCGGCACAACUCAGGGAAACUUGAGCUAAUUCCGGAUGCGCCCGUAAGGGAAAGAUUUAUCGCCGAAAGAUUGGCCCGCGUAAGAUUAGCUAGUUGGUGAGGUAAUGGCUCACCAAGGCAACGAUCUUUAGCUGGUUUGAGAGAACGACCAGCCACGUUGGGACUGAGACACGGCCCAAACUCCUACGGGAGGCAGCAGUGGGGAAUCUUGGACAAUGGGGGAAACCCUGAUCCAGCGAUGCCGCGUGAGUGAUGAAGGCCUUCGGGUUGUAAAACUCUUUUACCCGGGAAGAUAAUGACUGUACCGGGAGAAUAAGCUCCGGCUAACUUCGUGCCAGCAGCCGCGGUAAUACGAAGGGGGCUAGCGUUGUUCGGAAUUACUGGGCGUAAAGCGCGCGCAGGCGGCCAUUCAAGUCAGGGGUGAAAGCCCAGAGCUCAACUCUGGAACUGCCUUUGAAACUGUAUGGCUUGAGUAUGAGAGAGGUGAGUGGAAUUCCCAGUGUAGAGGUGAAAUUCGUAGAUAUUGGGAAGAACACCGGUGGCGAAGGCGGCUCACUGGCUCAUUACUGACGCUCAGGCGCGACAGCGUGGGGAUCAAACAGGAUUAGAUACCCUGGUAGUCCACGCCGUAAACUAUGAACGCUAGCCGUUGGUCAGCUUGCUGAUCAGUGGCGCAGCUAACGCAUUAAGCGUUCCGCCUGGGGAGUACGGCCGCAAGGUUGAAACUCAAAGGAAUUGACGGGGGCCCGCACAAGCGGUGGAGGCAUGUGGUUU
rnacentral:rRNA from 1 species